GUAAGCAGUUGAAAAACUUUAGGCUGAAAAUCUGAAAAAGAAACCUUCAUUUACUUAAUGAAACCGGAGCGGCUAAACCCUCCCUAUUUCUCAAAAGAAAUUCUACAAAGGGAAUCUUAUAUGCAGAAAAUGGUCGAAUAGAUCAUGGAAUACGUAAACUGCCUUCGAGAAAUGAGUACUGGCCUUUUCAUGAUGUCUUAUAGGUAAUCACUCCCCGCCGAAAGGGGCAAUC
rnacentral:lncRNA from 1 species